UACGUAGGGGGCUAGCGUUGUCCGGAAUCAUUGGGCGUAAAGAGCGUGUAGGCGGCUGGGUAGGUCCGUUGUGAAAACUCGGGGCUUAACCCCGAGCCUGCAGUGGAUACGGGCAGGCUAGAGUUCGGUAGGGGAGAUCGGAAUUCCUGGUGUAGCGGUGAAAUGCGCAGAUAUCAGGAGGAACACCGGUGGCGAAGGCGGAUCUCUGGGCCGAUACUGACGCUGAGGAGCGAAAGCGUGGGGAGCGAACAGG
rnacentral:rRNA from 1 species